rnacentral:rRNA from 1 species
AGGUCUUCUAUUGCUUACAGGGAGAGCCCAAUGGCGUACGAGCCGCCAAAGAUAUGCCACUGCAAUCCGCCGUGGAAGGCGCCGAGAUGGAUCUCCUGGAGCCGUCAAAAUCCCGGUUGGAGGUACUACGCCUGCGUGGAUGCAAUGGUGAGCCCCAUUUUUUGUGCUCAGGUCAUUUUUUCUAGUAAUUUCUUGCUCUUAGCUUGUAAUAGAUUUCUUGCCACAUUUGUGUUGAAUAGCAUGGUGGAUGUGGCUUUCUGGAAUGGCAUGAUGAUCCUUUGCCCAAGUUUUUUAGUGACUUGA